UAACGCGUGGGUAACCGUGCCUUGUACUGGGGGACGAACAGUUAGAAAUGACUGCUAAUACCGCAUAAGCGCACAGUAUCGCAUGAUACAGUGUGAAAAAACUCCGGUGGUACAAGAUGGACCCGCGUCUGAUUAGCUAGUUGGUAAGGUAACGGCUUACCAAGGCGACGAUCAGUAGCCGACCUGAGAGGGUGACCGGCCACAUUGGGACUGAGACACGGCCCAAACUCCUACGGGAGGCAGCAUG
rnacentral:rRNA from 1 species